rnacentral:tRNA from 1 species
GGGAGGUUAGCUCAGUGGGAGAGCACCUGCUUUACACGCAGGGGGUCGUGGGUUCAAAUCCCUCACCUCCCACCA